UUUUUAUUUUUUUCAUUAUCACAAAAGGAAUGCUUGAAAUGAAGAAAACAGGAGACAAAAACCCCAUGAUUCAACUACUUCACCUGUUUUAUUCCCAAUAUUUUACAGACUAUUGUUUCUUCUUUUUUUUUUCAUGUAAGUAAACAUACCGACAAUACCAUAGAAAUAAUAUAACAGAGCAAUAUCUGUAUACCUCUUUUCAUAUCAACAAUAUAUUAAAUAUCAACAACUAAGUAGCAAUGAAGCUAAUGGAGAUUGUGAGCUGAUGACUUCAUUAUUAUUAAAUGUAAAUCUUUAAACAUACAAAACAUAUUAAGUCAUACAAAAAGGCUAACUAAGAAGAUGUACAAUGAAACAAUUUGUCAUAACUUAAUAAAAAAGACAAU